rnacentral:rRNA from 1 species
UGGGGAAUAUUGCACAAUGGGGGAAACCCUGAUGCAGCGACGCCGCGUGAACGAAGAAGGUAUGCGUAUCGUAAAGUUCUGUCCUAUGGGAAGAUAAUGACAGUACCAUAGAAGAAAGCUCCGGCUAAAUACGUGCCAGCAGCCGCGGUAAUACGUAUGGAGCGAGCGUUGUCCGGAAUUAUUGGGCGUAAAGGGUACGCAGGCGGUUUAAUAAGUCGAAUGUUAAAGAUCGGGGCUCAACCCCGUAAAGCAUUGGAAACUGAUAAACUUGAGUAGUGGAGAGGAAAGUGGAAUUCCUAGUGUAGUGGUGAAAUACGUAGAUAUUAGGAGGAAUACCAGUAGCGAAGGCGACUUUCUGGACACAAACUGACGCUGAGGUACGAAAGCGUGGGGAGCAAACAGG